AGAGUUUGAUCCUGGCUCAGAACGAACGCUGGCGGCGUGCUUAAGACAUGCAAGUCGAACGGUAAGGCCCCCUUCGGGGGGUACACGAGUGGCGCACGGGUGAGUAACACGUGGGUAAUCUACCUUCGGGUCUGGGACAACUCCGGGAAACUGGAGCUAAUACCGGAUGAGACCACGAGGUCCUCGGACUUCGCGGAAAAAGAUGGCCUCUCCUUGGAAGCUAUCGCCUGUCGAUGAGCCCGCGCCCCAUUAGCUAGUUGGUGAGGUAACGGCUCACCAAGGCAACGAUGGGUAGCUGGUCUGAGAGGACGACCAGCCACACUGGAACUGAGACACGGUCCAGACUCCUACGGGAGGCAGCAGUCGGGAAUUUUGGGCAAUGGGCGAAAGCCUGACCCAGCAACGCCGCGUGAGGGAUGAAGGCCUUCGGGUCGUAAACCUCUGUCGGGAGGGAAGAACGGUUGCAAGGUGAACAAUCUUGGAACCUGACGGUACCUCCAAAGAAGC
rnacentral:rRNA from 1 species